CUCUGGGGCUACACUCGGCCAC
rnacentral:siRNA from 1 species